rnacentral:rRNA from 1 species
GAUGAACGCUCGCUACAGGCUUAACACAUGCAAGUCGAGGGGAAACGACAUCGAAAGCUUGCUUUUGAUGGGCGUCGACCGGCGCACGGGUGAGUAACGCGUAUCCAACCUGCCCAUCACUUGGGAAUAACCUUGCGAAAGUAAGACUAAUACCCAAUGACAUCCCACGAAGACAUCUGAAUGGGAUUAAAGAUUUAUCGGUGAUGGAUGGGGAUGCGUCUGAUUAGCUUGUUGGCGGGGUAACGGCCCACCAAGGCAACGAUCAGUAGGGGUUCUGAGAGGAAGGUCCCCCACAUUGGAACUGAGGCACGGUCCAAACUCCUACGGGAGGCAGCAGUGAGGAAUAUUGGUCAAUGGGCGAGAGCCUGAACCAGCCAAGUAGCGUGCAGGAUGACGGCCCUAUGGGUUGUAAACUGCUUUUAUAAGGGAAUAAAGUGGGUCUCGUGAGACUUUUUGCAUGUACCUUAUGAAUAAGGACCGGCUAAUUCCGU